UGCCAGCAGCCGCGGUAACACGUAAGGGGCGAGCGUUGUUCGGAUUUAUUGGGCGUAAAGGGCGUGUAGGCGGUUUAUCAAGCCUGAUGUGAAAGACCCUGGCUUAACCAGGGGAGCGCGUUGGGAACUGAUAGACUAGAGUAUAGGAGGGGUAGUUGGAAUUCCAGGUGUAGGGGUGAAAUCUGUAGAUAUCUGGAAGAACACCGGUGGCGAAGGCGAACUACUGGCCAUAUACUGACGCUGAGGCGCGAAAGUGUGGGGAGCGAACAGGAUUAGAUA
rnacentral:rRNA from 1 species